UGGUUGAAAUGACCCUCAUUUUAUCUUUGAACUGUAAAUAAGAAAGAGAGAGAGAGAGACAGAUGAGAGAGAAGAGAGAGAGAGAGAGAGAGAGAGAAGAAAAGGACAUGCUGAAAUACCAACAAUUUAUUACAAGCCCAGCUGCAGCCAAUCCCAGCAGAAUUUCUUCCAAGCCUGGAGGUGAAUGGCAAGAAUACAGAUAUUUGCCAAUUUCUACAUCCUUAUAACGUAAGUAUCAACCAGACACAAAAAGGAAUAGCUGGAUACAACUUGUGUGUGUGUGUGUGUAUGUGUGUGUG
rnacentral:lncRNA from 11 species